AGAGUUUGAUCCUGGCUCAGAGUGAACGCUGGCGGCAGGCCUAACACAUGCAAGUCGAACGGCAGCACAGAGGAGCUUGCUCCUCGGGUGGCGAGUGGCGAACGGGUGAGGAAUACAUCGGAAUCUGCCUUAUCGUGGGGGAUAACGUAGGGAAACUUACGCUAAUACCGCAUACGACCCACGGGUGAAAGCGGAGGACCUUCGGGCUUCGCGCGAUAAGAUGAGCCGAUGUCGGAUUAGCUAGUUGGGGGGGUAAAGGCCCACCAAGGCGACGAUCCGUAGCUGGUCUGAGGGGAUGAUCAGCCACACUGGAACUGAGACACGGUCCAGACUCCUACGGGAGGCAGCAGUGGGGAAUAUUGGACCAUGUGGCGCGCACGCCAGAUCCAGUCCAUGCCGCGUGUGUGAAGAACGCCUUCGGGUUGUAAAGCACUUUUGUCCGGAAAGAAAAGCACUGGAUUAAUACCCUGGUGUUAUGACGGUACCGGAAGAAUAAGCACCGGCUAACUUCGUGCCAGCAGCCGCGGUAAUACGAAGGGUGCAAGCGUUACUCGGAAUUACUGGGCGUAAAGCGUGCGUAGGUGGAUAGACUGUAGAUCACGUUGAUUGCCCCGCCCACCCAACCCACCCACCCCCCUUAGGAUACUGGGCUAACUAAGAGUGCGGNANAGGAUGGCCGAAUUCCCGGUGUACCAGUGAAAUGCGUAGAGAUCGGGAGGACCAUCUGUNGGCNAAGGCGGCCCAUCUGGAACGANCCACUGACACCUGAUGGGCACAAAGAGCCGUGGGGGGAACCAAACCGG
rnacentral:rRNA from 1 species